rnacentral:rRNA from 1 species
GAUGAACGCUGGCGGCGUGCCUAAUACAUGCAAGUCGAGCGAACAGACGAGGAGCUUGCUCCUCUGACGUUAGCGGCGGACGGGUGAGUAACACGUGGAUAACCUACCUAUAAGACUGGGAUAACUUCGGGAAACCGGAGCUAAUACCGGAUAAUAUAUUGAACCGCAUGGUUCAAUAGUGAAAGACGGUUUUGCUGUCACUUAUAGAUGGAUCCGCGCCGCAUUAGCUAGUUGGUAAGGUAACGGCUUACCAAGGCAACGAUGCGUAGCCGACCUGAGAGGGUGAUCGGCCACACUGGAACUGAGACACGGUCCAGACUCCUACGGGAGGCAGCAGUAGGGAAUCUUCCGCAAUGGGCGAAAGCCUGACGGAGCAACGCCGCGUGAGUGAUGAAGGUCUUCGGAUCGUGAAACUCUGUUAUUAGGGAAGAACAAAUGUGUAAGUAACUAUGCACGUCUUGACGGUACCUAAUCAGAAAGCCACGGCUAACUACGUG